UUUAACAGGACUGUUUCACUUCCAAGAAUCCAUUCUGUGAUGGAAACAGUGGGGGUUAGAAGAUCCAACGCCAUGAGAGACUCCAAGGGAAAUGCAAGGCGUGGUCCUCGAACAGUCGCAGACAUUCACAGGAACUAAAAGGACGUCUGCCACAUCUGACCCAGAAAACUAAUUUUAUAUCCUUUUUUCUCAUAAGUAAUACAGAGAAGGGUUUGUAUGAGGCCUUUUGGUAACAUAGUCUACAUUCUUUUAUUGUGUAUUUAUUUAUUCAGCAUCUACUACGUGAAUGAGAGAGGUCUUGCCCUUCCCAUCAUGUUGAGUCUAGGGAGAUAAACAGCUGGUAGGAUCACAUCUCUUAGGAUCCGAGAUUUGUCUAUCAUCAUCCAUCAACCCUUUCCCCUUUAAUCUGGUCAGAGAGCUGCUAGCGAAGAGUGUCUGAGGGAAACUCUAAGGAAACACAGACCCUAGAGGAAGCAGAAAAAAGCAAAGUUGACAGAAUGUCUUCGUAUCCAUCUACCUUUUCUUGUAUCUGCUUUUUCUUUUCUCUACAGGCCCCUCCCCGUCUCCAAUUUGAAUAUAAACUCCAGAAGAACCAUGUUUUGGUCAUCAGUCUACCCCAAAGCCUAGAAAGGUGCCUGCCACAUAGAACUUGUGCCAAGCUUGGGGAGAAGGAACACUGAGGAUCAAAGGCCAAGAUCACAGAAAGCUCUGGGAAAACGAAAUCCUCCCAUGAGUAAGUCUGGGGCAUCCUGCUUUUAAAAACCUUUUAUGGGACCAUAAAAUACCUCACCUCACCACCUUUAAGAAGUUGGCUUCAGGAAUGAGAGCAAACUGAAUUGCACGGAGCUGAAAACAAGCCCACAGACUCAUGACCUGAGCCAGGAGCAGACUCCAGAGCAAAGUGUUGUAGACAAGCUGGUACUUUACAUGCCUAAGAACACGGUCAUUUACAACCCGGAGGUACUUUAUUGCUAAUGAUCUUUGAAGUUAACAAGGUUUGCAGAAGCUUUUCAGCAUUAUUAUUACUAUUUACAUCAAUGGCAUUAGUGAUGUCCUUUAUUCUUCCAAGACUUAACACUACUAAUUGGCAUCAGCAUAAACAGAGGUAUAAAUGCUAUCAUGCAACACAGGCGGAGCCAGCUCUGCAGCUUUGUGGGUUUAAUAUGGAAAUGUUUGCUAUCUAAUGAGGACACAAAACGUUAAUCUGCAGAACAAAUUGUAUUUAUAGAGAAACGAAUUAUCAUAUGCAAAUGUGACACACAUCACUUGUGAAAUUCCUGUUGCCGCUGGGGUGGCCCUCUGUGACCUUUCUGAAAUGCAGCGCUUUGAAGCAGGAGCUAAUGGUUUCAUGCACUGAGGCUGA